AAACACCAUAUACGAUAUAACUUAUCAUUUCCCCUCAAUUUUAGCCCGGGAGGGAUAGAAUUGUUAAUCUGGUUCAAAGAUCUUCAUGUCUACCACGGGAAAAAGGUUUGGUUAGAACAUCUGCUAUUUGAUCUUUAGAAGAUAUGUAAUGAACCUUUGGUUGUUUGCUAGAAACUUUCUCCUUUACAAAGUGGAAAUUAACUUCCACAUGCUUCAUGUGUGAUUGGAAUAUCAGAUUCACAAUAAGAUAGGUUGCUCCCAUGUCAUCACAUCACAAAGUUGGGAUUUGUUGAGGCAGAAGAGAUAUCUCAUGCAGCAGUGUUUGAAUCCAUGUGAGCUCAGUGGUAGCUGCACCAAUGGAGCAGUACUCAGCCUCGG
rnacentral:misc_RNA from 1 species